GGUGGCUUAGUGGUGAAGCGCUUGCCUUGCAUGCAUAAGGCCCUGGGUUCGAUUCCUCAGCACCA
rnacentral:tRNA from 1 species